rnacentral:rRNA from 1 species
CGCACGGGUGAGUAACACGUAUCCAACCUGCCGUCUACUCUUGGACAGCCUUCUGAAAGGAAGAUUAAUACAAGAUGCAUCAUGAGUCCGCAUGUUCACAUGAUUAAAGGUAUUCCGGUAGACGAUGGGGAUGCGUUCCAUUAGAUAGUAGGCGGGGUAACGGCCCACCUAGUCUUCGAUGGAUAGGGGUUCUGAGAGGAAGGUCCCCCACAUUGGAACUGAGACACGGUCCAA